GGGAGCCCCUCCCUCUAAAAGCACUCUGUGUGGGGAAGAUGAGAGCCAGAGCAAAACUCAGAGGAACCAACCUGGACCUGGAUCUGGAUCUGGAUCUGGAUCUGGAUCUGAAUAUAGAUCCAGCCGUUUGUCCUUCAGGAGUGACAUCUCAAAGGAUUUACCUAUCAACUUAAAAGGCAAUCGUUCAGGAGUGGAACAGAUCAAACAGAGAUCUGGAUCUGAAUCCAGUUGUGAGUCCUUCAGGAGUGAUACUUCAAAGGAUUUACCUCUAAACCUCAAGUCCAUCAGUUCAGCAGUGGAACAAGUGGACCAGCAGAGCUCCGAGACUCCCAGUGGUCCGUCUGUCCAGCAGCAUCAAACACA